AUAUAGGUCAAGCUACAAAGGGCGCAUGGUGAAUGCCUUGGCAUCAGGAGCCGAUGAAGGACGUGAUAAGCUGCGAUAAGCUUCGGGUAGGCGCACAUAGCCUGAGAUCCGAAGAUCUCCGAAUGAGGAAACUCACAUGGGAAACCCCAUGUAUCAUUAAGUGAAUACAUAGCUUAAUGAAGGUAACCCAGGGAACUGAAACAUCUAAGUACCUGGAGGAAGAGAAAGAAAAAUCGAUUUUCUUAGUAGCGGCGAGCGAAAGGGAAAGAGCCCAAACCGGAAACUUGUUUCCGGGGUUGUGGACAUAACAUAAAAGUGGAGGCUAUUGUAACUGAAGAGAACUGGAAAGUUCCACCGUAGAAGGUAAUAGUCCUGUAAGUGAAACGAGAAGACCACGAGUUAUGAUCCAGAGUACCACGAGACACGUGAAACCUUGUGGGAAGCAGGGAGGACCACCUCCCAAGGCUAAAUACUACCUGAUGACCGAUAGUGAAGCAGUACCGUGAGGGAAAGGUGAAAAGAACCCCGGGAGGGGAGUGAAAUAGAACCUGAAACCGUGUGCCUACAACCGCUCAGAGCCCCUUAUGAGGGUGAUGAGGUGCUUUUUGUAGAACGAGCCAACGAGUUACGGUAUGUAGCAAGGUUAAGUACUUAAGGUACGGAGCCGAAGGGAAACCGAGUCUGAAUAGGGCGACUAGUUGCAUGCCGUAGACCCGAAACCGGGUGACCUAUCCAUGGCCAGGUUGAAGCGAGGGUAAAACCUCGUGGAGGACCGAACCACGUUGCUGUUGAAAAAGCAUGGGAUGAGCUGUGGAUAGCGGAGAAAUUCCAAUCGAACCCGGAGAUAGCUGGUUCUCUCCGAAAUAGCUUUAGGGCUAGCGUCGAGUAUGAGUAGUGGAGGUAGAGCACUGAAUGGGCUAGGGGGCAUAGCGCUUACCGAACCUUAUCAAACUCCGAAUGCCACAUACUUUGAGCUCGGCAGUCAGACUACGAAUGAUAAGAUCCGUGGUCAAAAGGGAAACAGCCCAGAUCGUCAGCUAAGGUCCCAAAGUGUAAGUUAAGUGGGAAAGGAUGUGAGAUUUCUAAGACAACUAGGAUGUUGGCUUAGAAGCAGCCAUUCAUUAAAAGAGUGCGUAAUAGCUCACUAGUCGAGAGAUCUUGCGCCGAAAAUGUAACGGGGCUAAACUUACCACCGAAGCUACGGGCUUGAACUUAGUUCAAGCGGUAGGAGAGCGUCGUAACCGGGCUGAAGUCGUACCGUAAGGAGCGGUGGACUGGUUACGAGUGAGAAUGUUGGCAUCAGUAGCGAGAUGUGGGUGAGAAUCCCACAGGCCGAAAACCUAAGGUUUCCUCAGGAAGGUUCGUCCGCUGAGGGUUAGUCGGGACCUAAGCCGAGGCCGAAAGGCGUAGGUGAUGGACAACUGGUUGAUAUUCCAGUACCACUACCAUCGUUAUUAUCGAUGGCGUGACGCAGGAGGAUAGUGUGUGCUAGCUAUUGGAUGCUAGUCUAAGCGUUUAGGCAGUGAGAGUAGGCAAAUCCGCUCUCAUAAUGCUGAGGCGUGAUGGGGAAGGUUCCACGGAACCGAAGUACAUGAUUCCACGCUGCCAAGAAAAGCGUCUAGAGAGAGAAGUAGUGCCCGUACCGCAAACCGACACAGGUAGGUGAGGAGAGAAUCCUAAGGCCGGCGGAAGAAUUACAGUUAAGGAACUCGGCAAAUUGACCCCGUAAGUUCGCGAGAAGGGGUGCCUACGAGAGUAGGCCGCAGAGAAUAGGCCCAAGCAACUGUUUAGCAAAAACACAGGUCUCUGCUAAAGCGUAAGCUGAUGUAUAGGGGCUGACGCCUGCCCGGUGCUGGAAGGUUAAGGGGAACACUUAGCGCAAGCGAAGGUGUGAACUUAAGCCCCAGUAAACGGCGGCCGUAACUAUAACGGUCCUAAGGUAGCGAAAUUCCUUGUCAGGUAAGUUCUGACCCGCACGAAUGGCGUAAUGACUUGGGCACUGUCUCAACUGUAAAUCCGGCGAAGUUGUAGUGCGAGUGAAGAUGCUCGCUACCCGCGAUUGGACGGAAAGACCCCGUAGAGCUUUACUGUAGCUUAGCAUUGAGUUUUGGUAUUGUCUGUACAGGAUAGGUGGGAGACUAGGAAACCAGGGCGUCAGCCUUGGUGGAGUCAACCUUGGGAUACCACCCUGACAGUACUGAAAUUCUAACUGGCGGCCAUGAAUCUGGUCACAGGACAUUGUUAGGUGGGCAGUUUGACUGGGGCGGUCGCCUCCUAAAAAGUAACGGAGGCGCCCAAAGGUUCCCUCAGAACGGUCGGAAAUCGUUCGAAGAGUGCAAAGGCAGAAGGGAGCCUGACUGCGACACCCACAAGUGGAGCAGGGACGAAAGUCGGGCUUAGUGAUCCGGUGGUACCUCGUGGGAGGGCCAUCGCUCAACGGAUAAAAGCUACCUCGGGGAUAACAGGCUGAUCUCCCCCAAGAGUCCACAUCGACGGGGAGGUUUGGCACCUCGAUGUCGGCUCGUCGCAUCCUGGGGCUGAAGUAGGUCCCAAGGGUUGGGCUGUUCGCCCAUUAAAGCGGCACGCGAGCUGGGUUCAGAACGUCGUGAGACAGUUCGGUCCCUAUCCGUCGCGGGCGUAGGAAAUUUGAGAGGAGCUGUCCUUAGUACGAGAGGACCGGGAUGGACUGACCUCUGGUGUACCAGUUGUUCCGCCAGGAGCACAGCUGGGUAGCUAAGUCGGGAAUGGAUAAACGCUGAAAGCAUCUAAGCGUGAAGCCAACCUCAAGAUGAGAUUUCCCAUAGCGUAAGCUAGUAAGAUCCCUUGAAGAACACAAGGUUGAUAGGUCGGGGGUGUAAGCAUGGUAACAUGUUCAGCUGACCGAUACUAAUAGAUCGAGGGCUUGACCAAAU
rnacentral:rRNA from 1 species